UACAGAGGGUGCAAACGUUGCUCGGAAUCAUUGGGCGUAAAGCGCACGUAGGCGGCUCAGCAAGCGGGGAGUGAAAGCCCUCGGCUUAACCGAGGAAGUGCUUUCCGAACUACUGAGCUUGAAUACCGGAGAGGAUCGCGGAAUUCCCGGUGUAGAGGUGAAAUUCGUAGAUAUCGGGAGGAACACCAGUGGCGAAGGCGGCGAUCUGGACGGAUAUUGACGCUGAGGUGCGAAAGCGUGGGGAGCAAACAGGG
rnacentral:rRNA from 1 species